rnacentral:misc_RNA from 1 species
UAAAAGCAGUUAUUAAGUUUUUUUCUUUAAAGCUUUUGAACUUAAUAACACUUUAAGUUAACCUUGUAAACAUCAUUAAGUUUACCUUUAAAAGAUCAAAGAACAAUUAUUAAAACCUUUUUGAUCAGAUAACUAAUAUACUAACUAACUAAAUCAUCGAUGCAUAAUUAACUGCAUCAAUGAUUUUUUUUCAUUAUUUUUACCGCAAAAAAUGCAGAUUUAUCUGUUAAACUAAUGAUUUAAAAAGGCUUUUUUUUAUUAUCAAUCAUUGGUUAUUUUUUACUUGUGAUUUUAGCUUUAAUGCUUAUAAAAAAAUCCAAUGAUAAAAGUUUUUUAGAAAAGUGUUGUACAAACUGAUUUGUUGUGCUAUAAUCUAUAAGGCUUAUAUAG